rnacentral:rRNA from 1 species
AUUGAACGCUGGCGGCAGGCCUAACACAUGCAAGUCGAGCGAGCGGCGGACGGGUGAGUAAUGUAUGGGGAACUGCCCGAUGGAGGGGGAUAACUACUGGAAACGGUGGCUAAUACCGCAUACUAUCGGAUGUGCCCAGAUGGGAUUAGCUCGUUGGUGGGGUAACGGCUCACCAAGGCGACGAUCCCUAGCUGGUCUGAGAGGAUGACCAGCCACACUGGAACUGAGACACGGCCCAGACUCCUACGGGAGGCAGCAGUGGGGAAUAUUGCACAAUGGGCGCAAGCCUGAUGCAGCCAUGCCGCGUGUAUGAAGAAGGCCUUCGGGUUGUAAAGUACUUUCAGCGGGGAGGCGUUACCCGCAGAAGAAGCACCGGCUAACUCCGUGCCAGCAGCCGCGGUAAUUC